UAAUGUAUGGGGAUCUGCCCGAUAGAGGGGGGUAACUACUGGAAACGGUGGCUAAUACCGCAUAGUGUCUACGGACCAAAGCAGGGGCUCUUCGGACCUUGCACUAUCGGAUGAACCCAUAUGGGAUUAGCUAGUAGGUGGGGUAAAGGCUCACCUAGGCGACGAUCUCUAGCUGGUCUGAGAGGAUGAUCAGCCACACUGGGACUGAGACACGGCCCAG
rnacentral:rRNA from 1 species